GAUGAACGCUGGCGGCGUGCCUAAUACAUGCAAGUCGAGCGAAUGGAUUAAGAGCUUGCUCUUAUGAAGUUAGCGGCGGACGGGUGAGUAACACGUGGGUAACCUGCCCAUAAGACUGGGAUAACUCCGGGAAACCGGGGCUAAUACCCGAUAACAUUUUGAACCGCAUGGUUCGAAAUUGAAAGGCGGCUUCGGCUGUCACUUAUGGAUGGACCCGCGUCGCAUUAGCUAGUUGGUGAGGUAACGGCUCACCAAGGCAACGAUGCGUAGCCGACCUGAGAGGGUGAUCGGCCACACUGGGACUGAGACACGGCCCAGACUCUUACGGGAGGCAGCAGUAGGGAAUCUUCCGCAAUGGACGAAAGUCUGACGGAGCAACGCCGCGUGAGUGAUGAAGGCUUUCGGGUCGUAAAACUCUGUUGUUAGGGAAGAACAAGUGCUAGUUGAAUAAGCUGGCACCUUGACGGUACCUAACCAGAAAGCCACGGCUAACUACGUGCCAGCCGCCGCGGUAA
rnacentral:rRNA from 1 species